AACGUACGCUGGCGGCACGCCUAACACAUGCAAGUCGAACGCAGUGGCAAACGGGUGAGUAUAAUGUGGGAAUCUGCCUUUUGGUUUGGAAUAACACGGGGAAACUUGUGCUAAUACCGAAUACCGAAAGAUGAGCCCGCACUUGAUUAGCUAGUUGGUAAGGUAAAGGCUUACCAAGGCUACGAUCAAUAGCUGUUCUUAGAGGAAGACCAGCCACAUUGGGACUGAGACACGGCCCAGACGCCUACGGGAGGCAGCAGUGGGGAAUCUUGCACAAUGGGGGAAACCCUGAGGCAGCGAGGCCGCGUGAGUGAAGAAGGCCCUUGGGUUGUAAAACUCUUUCGUCGGGGAAGCUGUACCCGAACAAGAAGGUCCGGCUAACUUCGUGCCAGCCGCCGCGGUAAAC
rnacentral:rRNA from 1 species